UAUAAUGAAUUGUGAAUCCAAUAACAUAAAAUGGGUUAGAAGUUCAACAACAAGCGAGGAAUCUAAAACACAUGAAACUUAAAUUUUAAAUCCGCCUCGACAAUGUAUAUACCGAAAACUUAGAAUGCCCCACCUCACGUUUUUAUGCUAUAUGCAUCUUCAUUAUUGAAAGUGAUUGAAAUGGAAUCUGUGAAAGAAUUAUUGCAGCAUUGUUCAUUUCAACAAAUAAAACAAAUAAUUGAGCAGAAAGGAUGGCAAAAAGAAAAGUUUAUAGUACUAUAAAACAUAUAUUUUUUUAUACACAAACAUAGUGGACUAAUUUAAUCUUGGGUUGGAUUAGUUUCCCAUAUGAUCACUCUACUUUUAUUUUACCACACUAAGGUCAAAAAAAUUAAUUUUACUAAUAAAAAAAAUAUUCAACUUUUUUCUUAAAUAUCACCAAAAAAAACACUAAACUAUUUUUUGUAAGAACACAACACUCUAAUAUGCCUAAGUAUCACCAAGAGUCACUAAGUAAUUCAUUCAUAACAAAAGAAAAAUCACUCAACUUGUUUAAUUAAAUAUCAUAUAAAAUAUCUCUUUAUUUUCUCCUAAUGAGUAAUUUCAGCGAUACAUAACGAAGUUAAGUGAUUUUUUUAUACUUUAAUCACCUAAUUUGAUUUUUUUUUUGUCAUGAACGACAAUUUAAUGACUUUAGUAUGAUAAUUUGAAAGUUCGGUGAUCAUACAUAAAACUAAUCUUAAUUAUGUAUCUGUGAAAGUGGUCACUAUUGCUUACAUUAAGAUAGACUAUAUUUACAUCACUCCUUAAAAUGCAACCUUUUUCGAACCCUACGUAAAACGUGAAAUACUUUGUACAUCACACUGUCUAAUUCCAACUACUAGUAGUUCUUACUUAUUUAAGACAAGUAGAAGGGGGGAGGUGAAGAGAGAGAGAGAGAGAUAGAGAGAGAGAAUGAAGUUCUUGUUCCAAUGUCCAUGUUGUUCUUGUUUUUGCUUCAUGAAGCCCCAAAAAGGUAAACCAAAAGCCAAAGAAGAACCCAAACUUAAAGCCAAAGUUGAAGAACCAAAACCUAAAGACAAGAAGGUGGAAGAAGCAAAACCAAAAGAGAAGGAAGAAAGCAAGCCACAAUGAAAGAAGAGGAAAUGGGAUAAUGCAACUAUAUAUUAUGCUCAUACAAGUAAUAUUGUUCUUCAUUUACUUAAAUUUACUUCUAGUUUGAAAUAUAUAUUGUGUGCAAUUGCAAUCUUACUCUUUUGAGAAAAGCCUCAUCCUAAAUGUAUUCUUAUUACAAAAUAUUUGCACUUUAUUCACUAUGAUAUGCAAACCUAGUCUUCAUUAUUAACUAUGUUGCUUAGAUCCUUUGAAUAUAUCAUCACACUCAUAUCAAAUUCUAAAAAAAUGUAUAACUUUUAAAGGAUUUGAUGUACAUUCAAAAGAAAUUUUGAAGGAUAUGAAAAACAUAAUGAUUGGUUAAAUUUCUCUGAAUUAAUUUCUCAAAUAUUUAUCGAACUUGGAGUUUUUUCUAUAUAAAAAAAACUAUUUUUUUGUCGGUGUAAAGUGACUCAACUUAAAAAUAUUCUCAGAAAAUAACUUGACCCAGAAAAACCACAUAAGCAAGCCAAAAUACCAUGUUUGUACAUACGAGUGAUUAUUAUUUUUAUACAAAUCAAGGCGAUAAAAGGCACGCAUUAAUAUUUAGAUAAAUUAAAUUAAUUUAUUUAUAUAAUUAAAUUAAUUUAGAUCAAUUUCAAUUAGUUUUUUUUUUUUUUUUUGGAUAUUACUCUACACUAAAUCCUAGUUCAUGCCUAUUUAAAGGUAAUAUAUUCCCUUGAAAAAGGCAGGUAUUUAGAAUAUUUUAUAAUUUUUGGGUAUUCACAAAGAGAGCAGGAAGAUAUCAAAUAUUGUCUUUCAUCAAGGAAAUCUUGAAUAUCCCAUAAACUUUGGGAAUAUUCAUAAAGAUCAUUUCAAGAUGUGGUCGAACUCUUCUUGACAAUCAAAUAAUUCAAGAAGACCCACAAAAUCCUUUCAUGGAGAUCAAAUAUUAAGAUAUGGUCGAAUUCUUCUUGACAAUCAAAUACUUCAAGAAGAUCCACCUUGCAUCGAGAUCUAAUAAAUCUCAAGGAGAUCCAAAUUAUCCUAAUUUGAGAAAUACACUAUUAAAGCCCUCGAUUCACGGAGAAAAUUCAAAUAGGAGAAUCAAGGGAACAAAUAGAGUUGUAAUCAUAUUGUUUUAUCAAUAAAACUAUGUUUCUUGAUAUUUCAUUUGCAAUUGCAAUUUAUUUCUAUCACUUUAAAAUUAGUUGCAACCAAUAAUCUUUCCAUAUAACGAACUAUCUCCUCGCAUUUUGAAUAUGAGUCUUUUUUAGCAAUCAUUUUAGUAAUUAGUACUUACAAUUAGUUUUUGUUUCAAAUUAAGAGUUAUUUUAGCAACAAAAAAGAAACUCAAAAUAAUUAUCACCAAAUAUCAAAGAUAAAAAUUAGUAUGUUUUUCUUACUAUACUUUUGUGCUUUAUCUUUUUAACGGUGCUCAAUUUUCAGAAAAUAUUUAUUAGAUAGAAAUAAUUUAGUAACUUAUAUAUUAUAUUUAUUAAUUUUUUGAUAAACAUAAUUGUUUUGAGAAUAAUAUUUUGGGACGGAGAAGGCAUUGAAGAAAACAGGAGAAUAAUCACAUUUCGAUUGUUGUGAACAACGUUGUGGACUGUGAUAAACAAACCAAUCUGAAAAAUUCAAAGCCCAAUUUUUGGUGGGUCUUCUAAAAUAAAUUUGAGUUCACCACUCAAGUCCAAAAUAAAAAAUCUCAAAAGCCCAAUUUAUGAAAUUUUUAUAUAUAUAAAGUAAUAUAAGUGAAAUAUGGGAAAGAAGAAUAUAAAAUAAAAGUAUGAUAACUAAAUGAAUAAUGCAAGAAGAUAAAUGUAUAUGUAAUAAAUAAAUUAGGCGGGAGAGCAGAUCAUGCGUUAAAUAAAGCAAAUAAUUAAUUAAAGAUAGGUGCUAGUACCAACCAUAUGAAAUAAAGGCAAUAAAAAGAUAAAUUAGUAAAGAAAAAAAUAGUGUAAAAAUUAAAAUUUGAUGUUAUUAUCAAAUCAACUUUAAAGACUACAAAGAGGAGAGCAAACUCUCACCAAAACUUCUUAUGAGAGAGAGAACGUUGUUUGAAAGAAAAAUAAUGUGUCUUAUUAUAAAAUAGAAAGGAAGGCUAUUUAUAACCAAAAAUUAUUACAAUAAGUUAUAGUAAUGCUACAAUAUUACCCACAAUAAUUUUAGUCCAUAUUUGUUAUUGUAUCAUAUGACAUCCUUGUGAUAUCGAAUUAGCUUAAAAUUUACAUCUUCUUUUAUCUUCAUACUUCGAUUUCUUCGACUCCUAUGAAUGAUUGUUAGAGAAUUCAACUUUGAUUUGUUGGAGAAUUUUUUCGAUUAUUGGAUGAAAUCUCUUUUGCUAAUCGAGCUAGCUAGUUGUGCAAUUACAAUUGAUUUGUCACAUAAGCUUUCGAUGGAUUCUAACUCUUGUACCAUUUGUAAUGACAUUGGAGAGAUAAUCUACAAACUUUUGAAAAUAUAUCCAUGAAAUAUGAUAUCUAUGUAGAUGAAUCAUUCUUGUUCACAAUUGAGAUUUGUACAUAUAUACCAAAUAAAACAACAAUAUCUAAGAUGAUAAUUUGUUGACUAUUAAGAUUAUACUAAUAUGUUAUCAUUGUUCGAAACUUAAUCUGCACAUGUUAGUUAAGUAAUAGCCUUUUAGGGUAUUUAAUUGAUCAAACUUAAUUUAUUCGAGAUGUUGAAUAUAGUUGAACUUAGUUUUCUAUCAUAUUCAAUUCGAAACUUAAAAAUCGAUUAUACAUGCCGUUGAUUGUUUGUUCUUUAUGGGACGAGUUUUAGACACGAUUAGUUGACAACUUUUUAAAUUUCAAAUUUCAUAUAAAAUAUUUAAAAUAAUGUAUAUAUAUAUAUAUAUAUAUAUAUAUUUAUAAAUACCCAUAGCACUAUUUUUUUGAUAAUAUAUGUGGAUAACUUUUCUCCAAGUAGAUAUUCUAUCCAUUUGAUUCCAAACAUACUCCAGAACAUUGCAAUUGGUACACACCUUAUUGGUCCUCACAGUUUCCCAAAUUGUUUUUCUUAUCCUACCUUCACUUUUCAUUAUUAUUGGGAUAAUGCAAAAAAAAAAAAAAAAACAUUAAAUAAGUUUACUGAGUAAAUAAUAUCAAAAAAAAUAAUUUAGAUGUGCGACUAAUAAUUUUACUAUUAUUUUGGAGUAUCUCUAUAUCUUAUCCCUUUAUUUAUUUUACUCUUCGUUUAGUUUUAUCGCUUAAUCUAAUUACACAUGAACUUCAAAAAAUGAAGAAAAUAAUUUAGGAUUUAUAAUUUUAAAUAUUUCAUGAGAUUAUUAUGAUCAUAAAAGUAUUUAAAUUAUUUUAAAUAUAAAAAUGUAAUUCUUUUUAAAAUAGAGUAAUAAGAAUAUAAUGUAAUAUAAAAUAGAUUAAUAGAAUAAGAUCUUUUGCCUUACUUAGCUUCAAAUUUUAAUUUAUAUGACAUAAUUUGAAUCAAUAAAAAAUUGAAAGUUUUAUUUAAAAUCUGUAGGUUUAAAAUAUCAACAUUUAUGUGAUGAUAAAAUAUUUCAUUAAGAGCCAGAUAAGUAUAAAGUUAAUAGAAUUCCUUAAUAUUGUUAACACAAAAUAUUUUCUUUAUUUUAACACAAAUUUAAUUAUUUGCCCUAUUUCAAUUUAUGUGAGCAUUUUUUUUUUUGGAAAAUUGUAUAUAAUAGCAAAUUAUUAAUUCAAAUUAAAUGCUAUAAAUAUACUUUGAUUUAAUUGUACCCUAUAGCAAACUAUUGCUAUUUUCGCCACUCUCGUUUGGUGGCAGUCUCGCUCGCCUCUCUCGCUUUUAUACAAACACAAAUGUAUAAAAUGUGUUUGUGUUUGUAUAAAGUGAGAGGAAAUUGUAUAUAUACAUAUAUUUUCUCUCCCCUCUCCCAGAUCUCGCUCGCCACUCUCCCAAAUCUCGCUCGCCACCCUCGCCUCUCUUGCUUAUACAAACAGAAACGAAACAUAUAAAUUGCACUUCUGUUUGUAUAAAGCAAGAGAAAAUUGUACAUACACAUGCAAAUACAUAUAUAUUCGUCCUAUACACUUAUAAUUAUACAAUACAAAUAUUUCUCUGCCCAGUUUUCGUUUGCCUUUCUCUCUUUCUCGUUUUAUACAUACACAGAUUAUACAAUUGAUCUUUUGUAUAUAAUUGCUUUCUUUUGUAUAUGUAUAGCGAAUUAUACAACUGCCUUCUUUGUAUAUGUAUAGCAAAUUAUACAACUGUUUUUUUUGUAUAUGUAUAGUGAAUUAUACAUAUAUAUGUUUGCUAUAGAGCGCAAUUAUGCAAACUUUGCUAUAGCAUACAAAUAUGAAUUUUGUGUUUGCUAUAUGUGAAAGUUGCUCUUUUUUUUUUUUUUUACUUUAUCACAAAAAAAUAAAAUAACUUAUACUUAAUAUUUUACUAUCCUAAUUUACAUCACACACACUUUUUUUUAAUUUAUCCAAAAUAAUGACACAUUACUAUAAUCGAAAAUAAUUUUGUUUUGAGAUUUGUUUUGAACCAUAAAUUUCAGCCACCUCGUUCAUCCUUUUUAUAUAAAAAAAAUUGUAUCACUUAAAUAGUAUCACAUAAAUUGAAAUCGGAAAAAGUAACAAUUUAAUUUUAAAUUCUCAUUUAAUCCUUUUCUAGACAUAAUAAUUUCUACGACUUGUGUGAAUUAUGAAACAUACAAAUGUAAAGUAGUACUUUUUUUUUUCUUCAAAGUUGUGGUCAAUCAAACAUGUAAAUUAAAACGAAGAAAAUAAUAUUUUGGAGCAGAUAUUUUUUCCUCAUUACAACGGUAACCUUUAUCUAAAGUAGUGCACAACUGCACACAAAGUCUAUAUAAACUUUGUUGUCUCCCUUUUAACCUUUCUAUUCUUUCCACUUUUUGUUUUUCUAGACUUCUCGUGAAGAACUAUUUCCUUUUUCUUUUUUUUUCUAUUUCUCGUGACUCUUUUUUAGUGUAUACUUUUAUCACCACACAAAAAAAGAGUCAUAUUGAACCCCAUUUUGAAACAAAGAGAAGAAAAACAUUGUCCAUGGCUCAGCAAAGACAUGUUGUAGUGUUACUUGUGUUGGCUUGUUUGUUUACAUCUUCAUAUUCUUCUCAAUAUACUGUUGGUGGCAAAGAUGGUUGGGUCCUUAACCCUUCUGUUGAUUACAACACUUGGUCUCAACAUAUGAGAUUCAUAAUCAAUGACUCUGUUUGUAAGUCUUCUCCUUCCUCUCAAAAGUCAAAAUACUGUUAUUUUUUAAGAGUCCGAGCAAUAAUAUUUGAUGAUAUUUGUUAUUUUUUGUGUUUAUAGUGUUUAAGUAUAAGCAAGGAGCAGAUUCUGUGUUGGAGGUGAGUAAGGAUGAUUAUGAUAAGUGUAACACUGGCAAUCCAAUUAAGAAAAUGGAGGAUGGAAACUCCAUUUUCACGUUGGAUCGUUCUGGUCCUUUUUACUUUAUCAGUGGCAACAAAGAUAACUGUGAUAAAGGCCAAAAGUUGCAAAUUAUUGUUAUCUCUGUUAGGAACCAAGGUAAACCACCACAAACUCCGGCACCGGGAGUUGCUCCACCUAGUAAUGGAUCAACUACACCGUCACCUACGGGUUCACCACCAUCUACUGGAGGUACGCGGAAUCAGAAUUUUAAUUUUAUCCGUUCAAUUUUUUAGAUUCUUAGUAUGUUACAUGAGUCGAUUGAACUUACGAGAUUAAUGCAGGCUCCUCUCCGGCAGCUUCUCCGCCUAAAGGAUCGUCUACACCUGGUACACCGUCACCCACGGGUUCACCACCAUCUACUGGAGGUACGCCGGAUCAGAAUUUUAAUUUUAUUCGUUCAAUUUUUCAGAUUCUUAGUAUGUUACAUGAGUCGAUUGAACUUACGAGAUUAAUGCAGGCUCCUCUCCGGCAGCUUCUCCGCCUAAAGGAUCGUCUACACCUGGUACACCGUCACCCACGGGUUCACCACCAUCUACUGGAGGUACGCCGGAUCAGAAUUUUAAUUUUAUUCGUUCAAUUUUUCAGAUUCUUAGUAUGUUACAUGAGUCGAUUGAACUUACGAGAUUAAUGCAGGCUCCUCUCCGGCAGCUUCUCCGCCUAAAGGAUCGUCUACACCUGGUACACCGUCACCCACGGGUUCACCACCAUCUACUGGAGGUACGCCGGAUCAGAAUUUUAAUUUUAUUCGUUCAAUUUUUCAGAUUCUUAGUAUGUUACAUGAGUCGAUUGAACUUACGAGAUUAAUGCAGGCUCCUCUCCGGCAGCUUCUCCGCCUAAAGGAUCGUCUACACCUGGUACACCGUCGGCACCUUCAGCUAAUGCUCCGGCAGGAUCAUCUACACCGGGUGCGUCGUCACCUAAUGGGGCACCAGUAUCUACUCCUGCAGGUAAAUUAUAAAUGAAUUUGGAAUUUCAAUUUGACAGAUUCCAUGUUUUGAUUUCGUUCGAUUUUUAACGUAUUGCACUUUUGAAAUAGUGAAUUGAAUCAUAUAGUUUAUCUGUUUGUUCAGGUAAAUCACCAACCUCAUCACCAACACCUUCCGGUUCAACCGCAUCUCCACCAGCUCCUGCGACCGGAGGAUCCGUAGCUCCGGCAAUGUCUCCGGUAGCUAAUGGACCGUCAACUAGUACUCCAGGUUCUUCUUCACCGGUGGCAGGCGGACCAUCGUCUGGAAGCAGUAUGGCA
rnacentral:lncRNA from 1 species